CCGUUCUCCCCGCAGGCCCUGGGACGUGGCGCGGCCUGAGCGGGCCGCUCACCCACCUUGCGCACGCGGCGGGCCGUGUAGAGCCCCAUCCCGUCCUGGACCCGGGACGACUUCAGGGCGAACCUGUCUGGUGCUUUCGUUGGGUUAUUACAGCAACUGGAAAAGCAACUCAGACACUGAGGGAAUCAUCUGUGGUCGGCAAGGGAUUCCUUAGAAGAGACUGUCUGUCUGUCUGUCUGUUGCAGAAGAGAAUGGAAUGAUAUAUCCAGAAUGUUGAAAGAAAGGGAAGCAGACCAUUAAAAUCCAUGGUCUCUUUACAGGUGCUCUCCAGACAUGAACAAGAAAUAACAUUUUUUCCCUCGGUCAAGAGAAUCUAAGAAAACUCACUGCCACUAGACCAAUAUUAAGGGGAUAUCUAUGUGAAUUCUAAAUCUAGAUAUGAAAGGAUGGUAGCUAUCAUUGUGAAAAUGUGGAAUGCACUGGUAAAGCGGACACCCAAAUGAAAAAGAAUGCACCAGGCAACAAAGACAAAGAAAGAGUAAGAAAAGGAGAGGUCAUUUGGCAACUGUUAACAUAGUGGCAAAGGCUGGCCUCAAGGACAUUUGUCCAGAGAUGACCUUGAACUUCUGAUCCCUCUGCUCCUUCUGCUCCUAAUCUCCAAGUGUGAAGAUUACCGGCUUGUGCCAUACACCCGGCUUGAACUUGGGGUCUUGUGCAAAAGGGCACUUUGUUUCCCAGCUCAGAUGUAUUCCUAAACCCUCCUUUUAGCUCACUUUUGACAAUAUCCUCAAUAAAGAAUGGUUUGUCUAUCCAUUCAAAUUAUU
ensembl:antisense Gm16838 predicted gene, 16838